GACGAACGCUGGCGGCGUGCCUAAUACAUGCAAGUCGAGCGAACAGACGAGGAGCUUGCUCCUUUGACGUUAGCGGCGGACGGGUGAGUAACACGUGGAUAACCUACCUAUAAGACUGGGAUAACUUCGGGAAACCGGAGCUAAUACCGGAUAACAUGUUGAACCGCAUGGUUCAACAGUGAAAGACGGUCUUGCUGUCACUUAUAGAUGGAUCCGCGCCGCAUUAGCUAGUUGGUAAGGUAACGGCUUACCAAGGCAACGAUGCGUAGCCGACCUGAGAGGGUGAUCGGCCACACUGGAACUGAGACACGGUCCAGACUCCUACGGGAGGCAGCAGUAGGGAAUCUUCCGCAAUGGGCGAAAGCCUGACGGAGCAACGCCGCGUGAGUGAAGAAGGUCUUCGGAUCGUAAAACUCUGUUAUUAGGGAAGAACAAAUGUGUAAGUAACUAUGCACGUCUUGACGGUACCUAAUCAGAAAGCCACGGCUAACUACGUG
rnacentral:rRNA from 1 species